GUAUAGCUCAGCUGGUAGAGCAUGAGACUCUGGAUCUCAGAGAGUCGUGGGUUUGAGUCCUAAGCUGAACA